GGAUGCGAUCAUACCCAGCACUAAUGCACCGGAUCCCAUCAGAACUCCGAAGUCAAGCGUGCUUGGGCGAGAGUAGUACUAGGAUGGGUGACCCCCUGGGAAGUCCUCGUGUUGCAUCCC
rnacentral:rRNA from 1 species